GAUGAACGCUGGCGGCGUGCCUAAUACAUGCAAGUCGAGCGAACGGACGAGAAGCUUGCUCCUCUGAUGUUAGCGGCGGACGGGUGAGUAACACGUGGAUAACCUACCUAUAAGACUGGGAUAACUUCGGGAAACCGGAGCUAAUACCGGAUAAUAUUUUGAACCGCAUGGUUCAAAAGUGAAAGACGGUCUUGCUGUCACUUAUAGAUGGAUCCGCGUUGCAUUAGCUAGUUGGUAAGGUAACGGCUUACCAAGGCAACGAUGCAUAGCCGACCUGAGAGGGUGAUCGGCCACACUGGAACUGAGACACGGUCCAGACUCCUACGGGAGGCAGCAGUAGGGAAUCUUCCACAAUGGGCGAAAGCCUGACGGAGCAACGCCGCGUGAGUGAUGAAGGUCUUCGGAUCGUAAAACUCUGUUAUUAGGGAAGAACAUAUGUGUAAGUAACUGUGCACAUCUUGACGGUACCUAAUCAGAAAGCCACGGCUAACUACGUG
rnacentral:rRNA from 1 species